rfam:TPA: Bos taurus chromosome 7, whole genome shotgun sequence.
UCCCUGGUAGUCCAGUGGUUAGGACUUGGAACUUUCACUACCAUGGGCCUAGGUUCAAUCCCUGGUCAGGGAA